AGGACGAACGCUGGCGGCGUGCCUAACACAUGCAAGUCGAACGGAACUCUUUGGAACAAGGCUUCGGCCGAGGGAAUUUGAGUUAGUGGCGGACGGGUGAGUAACGCGUGAGCAACCUGCCCUUCGGAGGGGGACAACAGUUGGAAACGACUGCUAAUACCGCAUGACAUACAUUGGUUGCAUGAUCGAUGUAUCAAAGAUUUUAUCGCCGAGGGAUGGGCUCGCGUCUGAUUAGCUAGUUGGUAGGGUAACGGCUUACCAAGGCGACGAUCAGUAGCCGGACUGAGAGGUUGAACGGCCACAUUGGGACUGAGAUACGGCCCAGACUCCUACGGGAGGCAGCAGUGGGGAAUAUUGGGCAAUGGGGGCAAACCCCCUGACCCAGCAACGCCGCGUGAAGGAAGAAGGCUUUCGGGUUGUAAACUUCUUUUAUCAGGGACGAUAAUGACGGUACCUGAUGAAUAAGCCACGGCUAACUACGUGCCAGCCGCGGC
rnacentral:rRNA from 1 species